rnacentral:tRNA from 1 species
CAACUUGUGGCUCAGACGGUAAAGCGUCUGCCUACAAUGCAGGAGACCUGGGUUCGAGCCCUGGGUUGG